UCGAGGGGUAUUUAUCUUCGGAUAGAGAGACCGGCGCACGGGUGCGUAACGCGUAUGCAAUCUACCUUUUGCAGAGGGAUAGCCCAGAGAAAUUUGGAUUAAUACCUCAUAGUAUAUAGAGUUGGCAUCAACACUAUAUUAAAGUCACAACGGCAAAAGAUGAGCAUGCGUCCCAUUAGCUAGUUGGUAAGGUAACGGCUUACCAAGGCUACGAUGGGUAGGGGUCCUGAGAGGGAGAUCCCCCACACUGGUACUGAGACACGGACCAGACUCCUACGGGAGGCAGCAGUGAGGAAUAUUGGACAAUGGGCGCAAGCCUGAUCCAGCCAUGCCGCGUGCAGGAUGACGGUCCUAUGGAUUGUAAACUGCUUUUGCACAGGAAGAAACAACGCUACGUGUAGCGUCUUGACGGUACUGUGAGAAUAAGGAUCGGCUAACUCCGUGCCAGCAGCCGCGGUAAUACGGAGGAUCCAAGCGUUAUCCGGAAUCAUUGGGUUUAAAGGGUCCGUAGGCGGUUUAGUAAGUCAGUGGUGAAAGCCCAUCGCUCAACGGUGGAACGGCCAUUGAUACUGCUAGACCUGAAUUAUUAGGAAGUAACUAGAAUAUGUAGUG
rnacentral:rRNA from 1 species